rnacentral:rRNA from 1 species
CUACGGGUGGCACCAGUGGGGAAAAUUGGACAAUGGGGGAAACCCUGAUCCAGCAAUGCCGCGUGUGUGAAGAAGGCCUGCGGGUUGUAAAGCACUUUCGGUUGGGAGGACUGCUUCUAGCACUAAUAUUGUUGGAAGUUGACGUUACCUUCAGAAGAAGCACCGGCUAACUCCGUGCCAGCAGCCGCGGUAAUACGGAGGGUGCAAGCGUGAAUCGGAAUUACUGGGCGUAAAGCGCGCGUAGGCGGCUAGAUCAGUCGGGUGUGAAAGCCCCGGGCUUAACCUGGGAACUGCAUCCGAUACUGUCUAGCUUGAGUACAGGAGAGGAGAGUGGAAUUCCACAUGUAGCGGUGAAAUGCGUGGAUAUGUGGAGGAACACCAAUGGCGAAGGCAGCUCUCUGGCCUGAUACUGACGCUGAGGUGCGAAAGCGUGGGGAGCAAACAGGAUUAGAUACCCCUGUAGUC